AGAGUUUGAUCCUGGACACGGCCCAGACUCCUACGGGAGGCAGCAGUGGGGAAUCUUGCACAAUGGGCGAAAGCCUGAUGCAGCGACGCCGCGUGGGGGAUGAAGCUUCUCGGAGUGUAAACCCCUUUCGACCCGGACGAAUACCUCGCAAGAGGGGUGACGGUACGGGUAUAAGAAGCCCCGGCUAACUACGUGCCAGCAGCCGCGGUAAGACGUAGGGGGCCAGCGUUGUUCGGAAUUACUGGGUGUAAAGGGUUCGUAGGCGGUGUGGCAAGUCGGGAGUGAAAUUUCUGGGCUCAACUCAGAGACUGCUUCCGAAACUGCUGUGCUGGAGUGUGGGAGAGGCGCGUGGAAUUGCAGGUGUAGCGGUGAAAUGCGUAGAUAUCUGCAGGAACACCCGUGGCGAAAGCGGCGCGCUGGACCACUACUGACGCUGAGGAACGAAAGCUAGGGGAGCAAACAGGAUUAGAUACCCUGGUAGUCCUAGCCCUAAACGAUCAGGACUUGGGGUGCCACCCGUUCGGGUGUCGUCCCGGAGCUAACGCGUUAAGUCCUGCACCUGGGGAGUACGGUCGCAAGACUGAAACUCAAAGGAAUUGACGGGGGCCCGCACAAGCGGUGGAACAUGUGGUUCAAUUCGACGCUACGCGAGGAACCUUACCUGGGCUCGAAAUGCUGGUGACCAGCUGUAGAAAUACGGCCUUCCCGCAAGGGACACCAGUAUAGGCGCUGCAUGGCUGUCGUCAGCUCGUGCCGUGAGGUGUUGGGUUAAGUCCCGCAACGAGCGCAACCCCUGCACGUAGUUGCCACUCCGCAAGGAGGGAACUCUACGUGGACUGCUCCGGAUAACGGAGAGGAAGGUGGGGAUGACGUCAAGUCCGCAUGGCCUUUAUGUCCAGGGCUACACACGUGUUACAAUGCAGGGCACAAACCGUUGCCAACCCGCGAGGGGGAGCUAAUCGGAAAAAACUCUGCUCAGUUCGGAUUGCAGUCUGCAACUCGACUGCAUGAAGCCGGAAUCGCUAGUAAUGGCGUAUCAGAUCGACGCCGUGAAUACGUUCCCGGGCCUUGUACACACCGCCCGUCACAUCACGAAAGUGAGUUGUACUAGAAGUCGUCACGCUGACCGCAAGGAGGCAGACGCCCAAGGUAUGACUCAUGAUUGGGGUGAAGUCGUAACAAGGUAACCGU
rnacentral:rRNA from 1 species